rnacentral:lncRNA from 1 species
GAAGAAAUUGUUCACAUAUUCAUAGUAAGGUUACAUCAAAAAUCCCAGAAUAAAAGUCUACUCCAUAGUUAAAUCAAGGAGAAACAAACUUGAUACGAUGAACAUCACUCAAAAGCAGAGAAUUUCAGUGGAAGAGAUAGGUGUCCUCCCGGUCUUCAAUAUUUUUGCCUCUGUUCUUGGUGUUCCUGUUGGUGCCGCCUCCUCUGUUUUUCUUUGUUAUGUUCAGGGUUUCUAAGUGUCUCCCCUCCUCUGUUUUUCUGACCCGUAACUCUUCUUUUAUAUUGUGGCUUUUCUACCCCUGCAGUAAUGAGGAAAAUUUCCUUUUCUGCAUUGAUUUCUCCUACCCAGACAUUGCGGGCCAGAUUUGAGUUAGGAAACGUGCGAAUUCAAAGAUCUUUAUUUCUGGAGAAAUUGUAGAGAAUCAAAUUUUCUUUCCAACGACACUGAUUUUGCAAUUUUUGGACCUCUGAGCGUUGAGAUAUGGGCUAUAAACCGAAACAGUCUUUGCAGUGCAGGAAUUUCGGGCUGGUUCAAUCCUUGUUUUUCAACUCGCUUUUUGGGCUUCGAAACAACAAAACUGAGUUAUAUGUCCUUCAUAUGUUUUGUAGACCUUCAUCUCAGCUAUUUGAAAAUGGUUACGAACAUCCGGAACUAAAUUGUAUAGCUUCUUUGCAGCACAUAAUGAAUCACUGUUCAGUUUCACUGCCCGGCUCUGCCUGUUCAGUAACCUAAGAUCUGAAAACACAUUAAUUUCCCACGAGGUCAAUAGUUCAAAAAGAGAUUCAAAAUUCUAAUUGUCUUGUGCAACAUAUCCAAAAUAUUUAAAAAUCAAGCAUGAAUAGCAGAAAAUAUACAUGCUAAAAAUUCCCUUAUCAAAUACCCCCAAACUUGAAUGUUUGCUUGUCCUCAAGCAAAAAGGAAACCAUGAAAGCAUAGUGCUAAAAGCUCAUGAUAAGUUCAACUUUGACAUUUAAAAGGCUCCAUCAUGCAGCAUUCACUUCUUGACUUAGCUCAUAGACAAUAUUAGAUAAUGGAAAACUAAGCAUUCCUACUCUCUGUGCAGACCGUUGUACAAACUUCCAACUCAUCCAUGUGUUUCAUGUGUUUAGCAUCCUUGAACCGUGCACAGUCAUUCUGCCAUUAUUUUUUUUUUUUUGAACAAGGUAGCCAACUUUAGGAGUAAUAACACACUUUUACUUGUCUUUUGACAAGGGUGAUUUUUUUAAAUUUAUCACUUGUCUUUUGACGCGAAUACAAACAUUUGUGAUGAAUGCACCCGGUUACUUAACAGGUCAUAAGCUUAAAAUGCUUUGCAUACUCAUAUUUUAAAGCUGCCGUUUGACGUAAAAGUAAACAUUUGUGAUGAAUACUCCUAGUUACUAAGCAACUCAAAACAUUGGAGUAGAUACACAUCAUAUACUUAUUCAUUCACUUUCAUACUCAUUAUCACUCCUUGUUUUGAUAUUUUUCUUAGAGGGUAAUAACAAAAAAGAACAGCACACUUAUCUCUUAUGCAUAACUACACAAUUCACCUGACUAUGCUGGAAAAGUGUACUUCAAUAAUUCAACAGAAAAUAGUCAUGCUUAAUCCAACUUUAUAAGAUAUUAUCCACUCUAAGCCUAGGAAUAUCAUGGAUACAUCAUGAAGCACCUAAAAAUGUCAAAGUUGGUCUUAAAUGCAUAUCACUUUUCACCCUCUGUUUUCAUGGUUCCAGUGUGCAGUGUUCUUUCAUAGUCAAAGCAUGCAAUGUCUCCCCCAAACUUAAAUAUCACAGUCCUCAAUGGAAAAACAAAGAAUAGAAAGGCUUACGAAUACUUCCUUUUGACUAUGUGGGUGUGAGUUUGUUGCUGCUCCUGGUUAUUUGCUUGUAUGAUCAAUCCCUGCACAACUCAAUAAAACAAAUAAGGUUUUUUUUUUUUUUGGGUUGCCUCCCAAUCAGUGCUUAGUUAUAGUCAUUAGCUUGACUUUUCCAUUUAGCUAAGAUGAAGUGAGAGGGAUAUCAUCCCUUUUUCCAAUAGACUCUCCAUUCCUAUAAUGCUUCAGACGCUGCCCAUUCACUGUGAAUGUUCCCUUUUCAUCAUGAGUGACCUCUACUGCUCCAUAAGGAAAUACUUUCACAACCGUAAAUGGUCCUGACCACCGUGAUUUGAGCUUACCAGGAAACAAGCGGAGCCGUGAAUUGAAAAGUAAUACCUGCUGACCAGGGACAAACUCCUUGCGUACAAUGUGUUUGUCAUGCCAUGCCUUGGUUCUUUCAUUGUAUAUCUUGGCAUUCUCAUAGGACUCAUUGCGAAAUUCAUCCAUCUCAUUAAGUUGCAGGAUUCGUUUCUCACCUGCAACCUGCAGAUCUAUGUUCAGUUGUUUCAUUGCCCAGUAUGCCUUAUGCUCUAAUUCAACAGGAAGAUGGCAUGCUUUUCCAAAAACUAAUCGAUACGGAGACAUUCCCAAUGGUGUUUUUAAUGCUGUCCGAUAUGCCCACAAUGCAUCAUCUAGCUUUCGUGCCCAAUCUUUCCGAGAAUUACUUACUGUUUUCUCUAAGAUUUGCUUCACCUCUCUAUUUGAUACCUCUGUUUGGCCAUUUGUCUGAGGAUGAUAAGCCAAUGCUCGUUUGUGUCUGACUCCAUACUUAGAUAGCAGUGCUUCAGACUGCUUGUUGCAAAAAUGAGUUCCUUCAUCACUGAUGAUGGCUCGAGGAGUACCAAAUCUGGUAAAGAUGUUCUUUCGUAGAAAAUUAAGUACCACCUUGCCAUCAUUUGUAGGCGUUGCAAUUGCCUCGAUCCACUUUGAUACAUAAUCCACUACUAAGAGAAUGUAUUUGUUGUUAUAUGAUGAAGGAAAAGGUCCCAUGAAAUCGAUGCCCCAAACAUCAAAUAAUUCAACUUCUAAGAUAUUCUGCAGUGGCAUUUCAUUUCGUCGAGAUAUAUUCCCAGUAUGCUGACAUCUAUCACAAGCAGUAACAAAAGCAUGAGCAUCUUUAAACAUAGUGGGCCAAUAAAAACCUGACUGCAGAACUUUGGCUGCAGUGCGCUGUGUUCCAAAGUGCCCCCCAUAUUCAAGUGUGUGGCAAUGCUUCAAUAUGUUUGUCAUUUCUUCUUCUGGAACGCACCUCCUGAUGACUUGAUCUGCACAAUGCCGAUAGAGUAUCGGCUCCUCCCAGAAGUAGUGUUUGACUUCAGAAAAAAAUUUCUUCUUUUGCUGGUAAGAAAAAUCUGGCGGUAUGAUUUUACCUGCAAGAAAGUUGACAUAAUCUGCAUACCAAGGAAAGAAUUUGUUAGUGGAAAUUGCUAAGAGUCUUUCAUCAGGAAAACAUUCAUUUAUAACCGUGAAUUUAGGCUCCAGCUGCUGUGUCAAUUCCAGCCUUGAAAGAUGAUUUGCCACCACGUUCUCAGUCCCCUUUUUAUCUUUAAUUUCUACAUCAAAUUCUUGCAGUAAUAGGAUCCAACAGAUGAGUCUAGGCUUGGCAUCUUUCUUAGACACUAGGUGUCUAAUUGCAGCAUGAUCAGUAUACACCAGCACUUUGUUUCCCAUCAGGUAAGGCCGAAACUUAUCAAAUGCAUAGACCACAGCAAGCAACUCUUUCUCGGUUGUGGCAUAAUUGAGCUGGGCAUCGUUGAGUGUUCUGCUGGCAUAGUAUAUGGUGUGAAACACAUUAUUUUUCCGUUGCCCCAGUACUGCUCCAACUGCAUAAUCACUUGCAUCACACAUAAGCUCAAAUGGUUUCUCCCAAUCCGGUGCAAUUACAAUAGGAGCUGUCACUAACUUCUUUUUCAACAACAUAAAGGCUGUCUUGCAUUCCUCAUCAAACUGAAACUUUGUGUCUUUUAGCAGCAGACUGCAUAGCGGUUUGGAUAUUUUAGAGAAGUCUUUGAUGAACCUCCUAUAAAAUCCCGCAUGACCAAGGAAACUCCUAACCCCUUUUACUGUAGUUGGUGGCAAAAGCUUAUCUAUUGCUUCAAUUUUAGCUAUGUCUACUUCUAUUCCUUUUUCUGAAAUCCGGUGCCCCAAUACUAUACCUUCCUUUACCAUGAAGUGACAUUUUUCCCAGUUCAAUAUCAAGUUUGUCUUUUCACAACGCUCCAAAACCAACGCCAACUUUGCAAGGCAGUCAUCAAAAGAAGUUCCAAAUACAGAAAAGUCAUCCAUGAAGAUCUCAAUGAUUUGCUCCACCAUAUCUGAAAAAAUAGCCAUCAUGCACCUCUGAAAGGUAGCUGGUGCAUUACACAACCCAAAAGGCAUUCUUCUGAAAGCAAAAGUACCAUAAGGGCAUGUGAAAGUGGUCUUCUCCUGGUCCUCAGGUGCGAUGGCUAUUUGGUUGUAUCCUGAAUAGCCAUCUAGGAAACAGUAGUAUUCAUGCCCAGCUAACCUGUCCAGCAUCUGAUCAAUGAAUGGUAGGGGGAAGUGAUCUUUGUGAGUUGCCUUGUUGAGCUUUCAAUAAUCCAUGCAAAUCCUCCAUCCAGUUACCGGUCUAGUAGGUAUCAAGUUGUUGUUUGCAUCCUUUACCACUGUCAUUCCUCCUUUCUUUGGCACAACUUGAACUGGGCUCACCCAUGAGCUGUCAGAGAUUGGAUAAAUAACACCAGCAUCUAACCAUUUCAGAACUUCUUUUCGGACUACCUCUUUCAUGGUCGGGUUAAGCCUUCUCUGAUGUUCUACUGUUGGCUUGACUUCAUCCUCCAACAGAAUUUUAUGCAUGCAAAUAGAGGGACUGAUGCCUUUGAUAUCUGCCAAUACCCACCCGAGAGCUGCCUUAUGUUUUCUCAACACCCUCAACAAUUUUUCUUCCUCUGUUUUGGUCAGCUUUGCAGAGACUAUCACAGGAUAGGUGGAAGCUUCUCCAAGAUAUGCAUACCAAAGGUGUUCUGGCAGAGGUUGCAAUUCCAGAACCGGUGCUUGUUCACUGGUUGAUUUUAUUUUUGGUGCUGGUUGUCCCAAAUCUUCAAAGUAUCUUCUGCGGUUAGGUUCAAAAGAGUCCAUCCAACAUGUAUAUUUUGCUAUUUCAGCAUCCUCUUCCAAUACAUUAUUUACCAAACAUGCUUCCAACGGGUCAGUUGGAAGCUUGACUUUGUCAUUAAUUAAAGAGUCCACCACUUAAAUGCUGAAGCAACUCUCCCCAAUAUCUGGCUGUUUGAUGGCUUUGAACACAUUGAAAAUCACCUCCUCUUCAUUCACCCUUAACCGCAGCUCCCCUUUCUUCACAUCAAUUAAGGCACCUCCAGUGGCCAAGAAUGGCCGGCCAAGCAAGAUAGGAAUCUCAUUAUCCUCCUCCAUAUCCAGAAUGAUGAAGUUUGCUGGAAAGAUGAACUUGCCCACUUUCACCAGUACGUCUUCAAUUAUUCCCCUUGGAUGCUUCAAUGACCUGUCAGCUAGCUGUAGUGUUACUGUGGUUGGCCUUGCUUCACCUAAACCAAGCUUCUUAAAAAUAGAUAAAGGCAUGAGAUUAAUACUUGCACCUAAAUCACAUAAAGCUUUUUCAAAUAUAGAAUUUCCAAUGGAACAUGGUAUAGUAAAACUCCCUGGAUCCUUAAGUUUAGGAGGCAGUUUCUUCUGUAAAAUGGCACUGCAUUCCUCAGUAAGAGCAACAGUCUCAUAUUCCUCUAGCUUUCUUUUGUUUGAGAGGAUGUCCUUCAAAAAUUUCACAUAGCUUGGCAUUUGUUCAAGAGCAUCUGCAAAAGGAAUGUUAAUCUGCAAUUUUUUAAACACAUCAAGAAAUUUAGAAAAUUGCUUAUCAAGUUUAUUCUUCUUGAGACGUUGUGGAAAUGGAAUUCUCUGCAUUAUUUCUUGCGUUGGUUCUGGCAGAGGAUCAGAUUUUUUCAUAUUCUGAAGUGGUUUGGCCACUUGCUCCUCCUCUUCUCUUCCUGCACUCUUGUUUCCAGCGGUCUGCUCCACUUCUUUUCCACUUCUUAAAGUUAUGGCCUUGCAUUGCUCCUUAGGAUUAAUUUCAGUUGUGCUUAGUAGAGUUCCUUGUUGUCUACCCGUGAGCAUGUUGGCUAACUGACCAACUUGAACCUCCAAAUUUCAAAUAGAAGCUGCUUGGUUCUGCAGAUUAGUAUUUGUUUCAGUCAUGAAUCUGCUGGUGUUGUUUGCUAAUUGUGUCAUAGCUUCUUCAAGUUUAGAUUUCUCUUUCAUGUGCUCACUUGAAGAUGGCAUAGCUGGAUUCUUCAUGACAGUUUGAUUGUUCCAUGAGAAAUUAGGAUGAUUUCUCCAACCGGGAUUAUAUGUUGCACUGUAGGGGUUAAUCUGCCGGCUGUAGUUUGACACAAAAUGAGCAUGCUCUGCUUGAGAGAACGGGUUCCCAACCUGACACUCUUCACUUGUGUGAUUUCCAUGGCAAAAAUCACACGUUGUAUGGAUGGCAUUUGCUAACAGUUGAGUGGUUUUCAGUUGCUGAGUUAGUGAAUGGACUUGAGCUGUUAAUGCCGUGAUUGCAUCAAUUUCGUGCACCCCAACAGUCUUCUUCUGUAUGCUUCUUUCAUUUGGCCAUUGGUAAUUGUUCAUAGCCAUUUCUUCCAAUAAGUUGUAAGCAUCAUCCUGUGACUUACUCAUAAAAGCUCCUCCUGAAGCUGCAUCAAUUAGUGUUCUUGUGGAGGCAUUCAAUCCAUUGUAAAAAUUCUGCACCUGCAUCCACUUCGGUAGUCCAUGGUGGGGACAUCGCCUGAGCAAAUCCUUGUAUCUCUCCCAUGCCUCAUACAAUGGUUCACUCUCAAGUUGGGCAAAGUUAGCUAUCUCAAUGCGCAUUUUUGCUGUCUUGGCUGGUUGAAAAAAUUUAGCAAGGAAUUUCUGAGCUAAAUUUUCCCAGCUGAUAACUGAAUCUGCAGGCAUGGAGUUUAACCAGUUCUUCGUUCUAUCUCGCAGAGAAAAUGGAAACAGUCUGAGACGAAUGGCAUCAUCAGUAACGCCAUUAUGCUUAAAUGUGUCGCAAAUUUCCAAGAAACUUGCAAUAUGGGCGUUAGGAUCAUCACUUGGCAACCCAUAAAACUGAAUUGAGGUCUGAAUCAUUUGCAGUAUUGCUGGUUUGAUCUCAAAAUUAUUGGCCUCAAUCCUUGGUUUCCUGAUAACAGAACGGAUUCCUGUCACCUGUGGGAGAGCAAAAUCUCUCAAUGCCCGUGUGUCUUGCUCAGGAUUUUCAUUGUUUGCCAUGAAGCCUGAACUGUUUUGAAUUUCUCGCGUUUUCUUUCUUAAUCCCCUUGCAGUUUUCUCAAUCUCAGGAUUAUAAGGUAGCAACGGAUGGUUUUUGUUGCUUCUCAUGCACUAGACAACACACCUAAAGAGCUGAAGACAAAAGGCAAUCAAAUUAGAUCAAAUUUAAUUUAUAUUGAUAUUAUUAGUAAUUUUAUCUAAAAUCCCCGGCAACGGCGCCAAAAACUUGUUGGUUAAUUUCGCAAGUGCACGAAUCGUAACAAGUAAUAAAGUGAUAAGUAGAGUAUCGUCCCACGAGGAUUUGUAAAAAUUACUACUAAUUACCAAAGUCUUUUAAAUUAUGAUCUAUUUGAGGAAUCGAAUGAGAUAGUUUAUGAAACAAAAAUUAAUGAUUAAAAAAAAAACAAACAACCAAAUGAUUAAAUAUUAAUUAAUUAAAUUGUACUGGUUCUAGGAUUUAUGACUUACCGUAACUAUGCCUAUGUGAACUUUCUCGAUUAAAUUAAUUACUCCUAAUGUUGAUAAUCAGGUUUUCCUAAUGUAAAUAUUAAUCUCUCUCGAGCAUCAAUAAAUUAUUUCGACAAACAAAUUUCAUAUACUCUACGAAAGUUCUGAACUUGUCGAAAUUAAUUAAAUACUGUAAAACCUGUAACGAUUACAAAAGUUCCUAGGAUAUCUCUAUCCUAUAGAUUUCUUAAGGUAUUUCAAACAAUAGCUAAAACAAUUAUCACUUCUCAGUUUCAAAUUGAAUUCUAAAUCAUGCAGAUGUUGGCCAAACACACGCAAGCAUUACACAUAGAAUGAAAUACUCAACAUCUUAAUGUAAUAAUUCAAUCGAAGAAAUUGUUCACAUAUUCAUAGUAAGGUUACAUCAAAAAUCCCAGAAUAAAAGUCUACUCCAUAGUUAAAUCAAAGAGAAACAAACUUGAUACGAUGAACAUCACUCAAAAGCAGAGAAUUUCAGUGGAAGAGAUAGGUGUCCUCCCGGUCUUCAAUAUUUUUGCCUCUGUUCUUGGUGUUCCUGUUGGUGCCGCCUCCUCUGUUUUUCUUUGCUAUGUUCAGGGUUUCUAAGUGUCUCCCCUCCUCUGUUUUUCUGACCCGUAACUCUUCUUUUAUAUUGUGGCUUUUCUACCCCUGCAGUAAUGAGGAAAAUUUCCUUUUCUGCAUUGAUUUCUCCUACACAGACAUUGCGGGCCAGAUUUGAGGUAGGAAACGUGCGAAUUCAAAGAUCUCUAUUUCUGGAGAAAUUGUAGAGAAUCAAAUUUUCUUUCCAACGACACUGAUC